AGAGCGGACGAUGGAUGCCUUGGCGCCGGAUGGUGAUGAAAGACGCGGUUAGCUGCGAAAAGCUUCGGGGAGCCGCUAAACAGGCAUUGAGCCGAAGAUCUCUAAAUGGGGGAACCCAUUCCGGGUAAUUCCGGGAUAUCUAUUGCUGAAUCCAUAGGCAAUCGAGGCGAACGAGGGGAACUGAAACAUCUCAGUACCCUUAGGAAAAGAAAACAACCGUGAUUCCCAAAGUAGCGGCGAGCGAACUGGGAACAGCCCAAACCGAAUGCAUGCAAGCCUGCAAGCGUUGUGCAUCCGGGGUUGUGGGGCCUUAUCGGAGGGAAUUGCAGAUCCCUCGGCAAGUCAAAAAUCCAAUGGAUAGUCGAACGGCCUGGAAAGGUCGACCAAAGAAGGUGAUAGUCAACCCUGCGUGAAUCUGGGAGGACCAUCUUCCAAGGCUAAAUACAAGCCGGCGACCGAUAGUGAACUAGUACCGUGAGGGAAAGGUGAAAAGAACCCCGGUGAGGGGAGUGAAAUAGUACCUGAAAUCGUCCGUUUACAAGCAGUGGAAGAACUAUUGGAGCCGUAGGGGGUUCGCCCUCUUGGUUUCAAGUUCGACUGCGUACCUUUUGCAUAAUGGGUCAGCGAGUUACUCUGUGUUGCAAGGUUAAGCCGUUAGGUGUAGCCGAAGCGAAAGCGAGUCUGAAAGGGGCGUUGAGUAGCGCGGAGUAGACCCGAAGCCAGGUGAUCUAUCCAUGGACAGGGUGAAGGCCGAGUAACAUCGGCUGGAGGCCCGAACCGCAGAAGGUUGAAAACUUCCCGGAUGAGCUGUGGAUAGGAGUGAAAGGCUAAUCAAACCUGGAAAUAGCUGGUUCUCCCCGAAAUAUAUUUAGGUAUAGCCUCACAAAUUAAGUAACGGGGGUAGAGCACUGGAUGGGCUAGGGGUCCUACCAGAUUACCAAACCCAACCAAACUACGAAUACCGUUAACUUCUAUUGUGGGAGUCAGACAGCGGGAGAUAAGUUUCGUUGUCAAAAGGGAAAGAGCCCAGACCGCCAGCUAAGGUCCCUAAAUAUGUGCUAAGUGGUAAAGGAUGUGGAAACGCAGAGAAGGUUGGCUUAGAAGCAGCCAUCCUUUAAAGAAAGCGUAACAGCUCACUGGUCAAGUGAUUCUGCGCCGAAAAUUUAACGGGGCUUAAGCACAUUACCGAAGCUGCGGAUUCUUCCCGAUUCAUCGGGAAGGAUGGUAGGGGAGCGUUCCAUCCUGGAGUGAAGCCAGACCGUAAGGACUGGUGGACCGGAUGGAAGUGAUCAUGCUGACAUGAGUAACGAUAAAGCGGGUGAAAAACCCGCUCGCCGUAAGCCUAAGGUUUCCUGAGUAAAGUUAAUCUUCUCAGGGUUAGUCGAUCCCUAAGCCGAGGCCGAGAGGCGUAGGUGAUGGAAAACAGGUUAAUAUUCCUGUACCACCAUAUUGGCGUUUGAGUGAUGGGGGGACGCAGGAGGGUAGGUCAUUCCGGUGAUGGAUGUCCGGAUUCAAGCUGGUAGGUGGAGAGGAUAGGCAAAUCCGUCCUCUUAUUCAACACCGAGAAGUGAUGAGGAGAGACUUAGUCUCACAAACUGGCUGAUCCCAUGCUGCCAAGAAAAGCCUCUAGCGAGUCAAUGUGGUGAUCGUACCGCAAACCGACACAGGUAGGUAGGGUGAGUAUCCUAAGGCGCUCGAGAGAACUCUGGUUAAGGAACUCGGCAAAUUGACACCGUAACUUCGGGAGAAGGUGUGCCCUCAUUAGGUGAAGAGACUUGCUUUUGGAGCCGAAGAGGGUUGCAGAGAAAUGGGGGUAGCGACUGUUUACUAAAAACACAGGGCUCUGCUAAGUCGCAAGACGAUGUAUAGGGUCUGACGCCUGCCCGGUGCUGGAAGGUUAAGGGUUGAACCGAAGCCCCAGUAAACGGCGGCCGUAACUAUAACGGUCCUAAGGUAGCGAAAUUCCUUGUCGGGUAAGUUCCGACCUGCACGAAUGGCAUAACGACUUCCCCACUGUCUCAACCAGGGACUCGGUGAAAUUGAAUUCGGGGUGAAGAUGCCCCGUACCCGCGAAUAGACGGAAAGACCCCGUGAACCUUUACUAUAGCUUGACAUUGGAUUUUGGGCUUGUAUGUGUAGGAUAGGUGGGAGACUUUGAACUCUCGACGCUAGUCGGGAGGGAGUCGACCUUGAAAUACCACCCUUAUUGGUUUAGAAUUCUAACCUUGACCCGUUAUCCGGGUUGGGAACAGUGUCUGGUGGGUAGUUUGACUGGGGCGGUCGCCUCCCAAAGAGUAACGGAGGCGCGCGAAGGUUCCCUCAGGCUGAUUGGAAACCAGCCGUAGAGUGUAAAGGCAUAAGGGAGCUUGACUGCGAGACUGACAAGUC
rnacentral:rRNA from 1 species